rnacentral:rRNA from 1 species
UACGUAGGGCGCAAGCGUUGUCCGGAAUUAUUGGGCGUAAAGAGCUCGUAGGCGGCUUGUCACGUCGAUUGUGAAAGCCCGAGGCUUAACCUCGGGUCUGCAGUCGAUACGGGCUAGCUAGAGUGUGGUAGGGGAGAUCGGAAUUCCUGGUGUAGCGGUGAAAUGCGCAGAUAUCAGGAGGAACACCGGUGGCGAAGGCGGGUCUCUGGGCCGUAACUGACGCUGAGGAGCGAAAGCAUGGGGAGCGAACAGG